UGGGAAGAAAUUCAUUCUCUAUGUUGCAAU
rnacentral:piRNA from 1 species